rnacentral:rRNA from 1 species
UCCAGACUCCUACGGGAGGCAGCAGUGGGGAAUAUUGGGCAAUGGGCGCAAGCCUGACCCAGCAACGCCGCGUGAAGGAAGAAGGAUUUCGGGUUGUAAACUUCUUUUCUGAGGGACGAAGGAAGUGACGGUACCUCAGGAAUAAGCCACGGCUAACUACGUGCCAGCAGCCGCGGUAAUACGUAGGUGGCAAGCGUUAUCCGGAUUUAUUGGGUGUAAAGGGCGUGUAGGCGGGAAUGCAAGUCAGAUGUGAAAACUAUGGGCUCAACCCAUAGCCUGCAUUUGAAACUGUAUUUCUUGAGUGCUGGAGAGGCAAUCGGAAUUCCGUGUGUAGCGGUGAAAUGCGUAGAUAUUAGGAGGAACACCAGUGGCGAAGGCGGCCUGCUGGACGAUGACUGACGUUGAGGCUCGAAAGCGUGGGGAGCAAACAGGAUUAGAUACCCAAGUAC